rnacentral:rRNA from 1 species
AGUGAACGCUGGCGGCGUGCCUAACACAUGCAAGUCGAACGGGCUAGUGCUUCGCACUAGUCUCUUUCUGGGGUUGCUACUCUAAGGCUACCUGCUAAAGUUAUUGCUUUAAAGCAGGGGUUUUAGGGGACCUUCCCCAAAAGGGGCCAGUGCGGAGCACUGGCCAGUGGCGAACGGGUGAGUAACACGUGGGUAAUCUGCCCUCGAGUGGGGAAUAAGCUCCCGAAAGGGGGUCUAAUACCGCAUGACGUUUCAUAACGAUGGUUAUGAAACCAAAGCCCAAAAGGCGCUUGAGGAGGAGCCUGCGUCCUAUCAGCUUGUUGGCAGGGUAAUGGCCUACCAAGGCUAUGACGGGUAGCCGGCCUGAGAGGGUGUCCGGCCACACCUGGAACUGAGACACGGUCCAGACUCCUACGGGAGGCAGCAGUGGGGAAUUUUGCGCAAUGGGGGAAACCCUGACGCAGCGACGCCGCGUGGAGGAUGACGGCCUCGGUGUAACGUCCUGUCGAGAGGACGAAGUACCCG